rnacentral:lncRNA from 1 species
UAAGAACAGAAGUUUUUUUCCUGACAGUGCAGUAAUACAAAGUUAAGAGUUAUUUUCUUUGCAUUUUAUGCAAUUAUUAUAUUACUUUUUAGUGUGUGAAAAUGCAUAUUUUUAAAAUAUAAUGGUCUUCUGAUUUAGAUGCGUCUGAAAUUUAAACCAUCAAAGAUUUUUUUAAAAAUCUGUUAAUUUGGACCUGUUGUUCAGAAUAAAUUAACACUUGCAAUUAUAAAAUUAUAAAUCCCAUAUAGAAGUAGUCAUUUGCUGAACACUCCAUUCAUGAACUGCAUAUACAUAAACAUUCUAAUGGAACCUAACGUGUAAGGAGGAAUGGACUACUUGGCUGACAUUUAGAGUGGUCUAGCAAAAGAGAAUUGGAAAAUAAUAAAAGGUAAAAUAGGCAAGGGAUGAUGAACAAGAAUGAACAGGAUAAACUGAUUCAGUAACAAAACAGAAAGGCUUCUGAAAAGUCAGGUAUAAAAAUUGCUGCAGCCUAUGUCCAGGUUGGCCAAGAUACACACAAACAAUCCACACAACGGCCUUGGCAGCAUUACACUGAUAAUAUUUUUGCAAGGUUGAAUUAUUGCCGAACAAUACUGUAGUAUGUUGCACACAAAUAUCCUGAUAUUUUUAUUAAGUGUCAAGCAUGUAUAUAUUCCUUUUUUUGCCUGCAAGAAUAACAUCUGCCACAGUUAGUUAAAAGAAAUUCCCACAUGACUUCUGUUUGACUUUCUGUGAGCGUCAACUUCAUGGGGUCCUAGUGGUUUCUGUGCACAUGUCCCUGUUUUCUCGAGGUUCAGCAGGCACAGUGAGGGUGGGCUCCGUGGCGGUGCUCCUGCGCCACGAACAGCGUUGUGUGACUCUUCCACAGUCUGCACCUCCUUCUGCCAUCGUGCGUCUCACUGCGAGGAUCCCUUGGCAGAGCUUCAGCAACUGUGAAUUUCCACACUUGGGGUUCUGCCAUCUGGGGGCUGCAGGUGAACACUCUCACAUCUAUAGAUGUAUGCAUGUGUGUAUAAAGAUGUGUAAGCAUAUUAGCGAGUGCAUAUGUAAAUUUAGAAUUUUGAAGAUCCCUAAUGAUAACGCUAAAAAUACAAUGCUUUUAAAAGAAAGCUAUAGGAAUUACCAAAGGGAGUCAGACCAUUUAUUGGUAUAAAGAGUUCAUGGGUUCAAAUUUCCUCGCCUUUAAUAACAUUAGGUGAUUACUGUAGAAGAUUAAAAACUAGCCUGGGGAAGCAGUGUGCUCUAACAAAUAGGGCAUUUACACAUCAGGAGUCCAGGCUGAAAUACUGUUUUUGUGGUAGUCAGUAGGAAGAGUUCAGGGGAUCAUUGUUUUAACCUUGGUCUUACACCGAUGCUGGUAUUUAUCUUCAGUGUGGCUUUUUACAAGUUAUUUUUCCCCUGUUGGUGCCUCUUUUUUGCUUUCCCCUCCAUAAGCCUCAUAUCAUAUAUGUGAUAGUCUCAGAAAUAGUAACAUACUGGCACAAUAAUGAAAAAGUGGCAAAUACAUUUAUCAUUAGGUUCAAAUUUGAUCAGAAUUUUAGGAAUUACUAAAAAUUAAACUUUUACAUACAUUAAGUUUAGCAGUAUGGUAUUUUAAGAGUGAACUCCCUUUCAGGUGAUUCUUUUAUGAAGAUCCUAAGUUAACAUCUUAAAUUUAAAAAUUAACAGGCAUAUAAGAAAAUUCUUUCUUUUACUGCAAACUGUACAUUUUACAAUUUAAUAAGCUAGUGAUGUUAGACAGAAAGACGUACAUCCAAAUUCUUGUUUUUGAAACUUGUCCAAGUUACCACAAACAAUCUCAAACUGCACCGAGACGUGAUGGUAAUUUGGAUUUCAAGCUGCAAGACAUUGACUGGAAGACCUAGGAGACAAAUUCCAGAUUACAGACUGCUGGAAGGAAGAAGGGCAUAGAAAAGGGCAGAUGAGUUAGUUAAAUGUCUAAGUGGGAUUUUUGUAUUUAUAAAGGCUGCUAUCAGGAGAACCAGUGAACAGUAUUUAGCUUCAGGCUCUUCUUAAACUCUCACGUGACAAAAAUCAUGGAAAUUUCCUUUUUCUCUGACCCUAACAAAAUUGUUCUUUUUUGUCUUUGCAGUGUUCACUGUUUUCUAUAUAGAGAAAAAUAGACACUAAAAAAAAUAACAAAAAAAAAAAGCGGUAUGACCAACAACCAAGAACAGGUGGAAACCUUUACACAUAUGGAAACACAUUUCAAGUUCAAUUGGAAAUGAAUAAAUUAUAUGAAAUCUCACCGGUUACUGUUAGC